rnacentral:tRNA from 1 species
AUCUUUCUAGUAUUAAACCAGUAUAAGUGACUUCCAAUCACCCGGUCUUGGAUAAAGUCCAAGGAGAGAUA